CACCCGGUUGCACAAGGUGUGCGUCUGCUAAACUUAAUAGCCACUUGAGUUUCAAUUUCAGCAAAAGGUUCUCGGUUCGAUUCCGGGUCGGGUGG